ensembl:lncRNA
AAGGUGAAGGUGAAGUCGCUCAGUCGUGUCCGACUCUUUGCGACCCCGUGGACUGUAGCCUACCAGGCUCCUCCGUCCACUGAUCUCUUAAUACUGGAAAUCUUCAAGCAAGGAGUCUGAAGGUCUAGCAAGAGCGGUGAAGAAUUUUAUAACGACUUCACAGUCUAGCUGGGGAGAUAGACAGACAGACACACACACACAUAGAGGAAGCGCCAUCUCUAAUUUUUCAUUCUCUCCUCAUCCCGUUAUGAAGAUGGAAAGAAGAGAGCGACGGCCGCCGCGCAGGACUGCUGAGCACAUCGCCCUAGGUGAGGUCUCCUCUCCACUGCCCAGCAGCUCGCCUGUUCUUCCUUCGUCUUUUCCUUCAGAUCUGUCCAAUUGCAUCAUAAACUGUCAAAGUUGGAAGGGGCCUGAUAGAUCAUUUUCGAGGAUUGUGGCCUAAAGCAUAUAAGCUUUGAAGGAUGUUGAACCCAUUAAAUCUUUCUUGCAUCUGGGC